GAACGACGCUGGCGGCGUGCUUAACACAUGCAAGUCGAACGCGAACGGGACUUCGGUUCCUAGUAGAGUGGCGCACGGUGAGUAACGCGUAGAUAACCUAUCUUUAUGUCUGGAAUAACACGCCGAAAGGGGUACUAAUACCGGAUAUUCUUGCAUUUCAUAAGUAAGGCAAGGAAAGGUGGCCUCUGGUUCAAGCUACUGCAUAGAGAGGGGUCUGCGUACCAUUAGCUAGUAGGUGGGGUAAUGGCCUACCUAGGCGACGAUGGUUAGCGGGUCUGAGAGGAUGAUCCGCCACACUGGCACUGAAAUACGGGCCAGACUCCUACGGGAGGCAGCAGUGAGGAAUAUUGCGCAAUGGGGAAACCCUGACGCAGCGACGCCGCGUGAGUGAGGGAAAGGCCUUCGGGUCGUAAAGCUCUGUCAAGAGGGAAGAAGUGCGUGGUAGCUAAUAUCUGCCAUGUUUGACGGUACCUCUAAAGGAAGCACCGGCUAACUCCGUGCCAGCCGCCGC
rnacentral:rRNA from 1 species